rnacentral:rRNA from 1 species
AACGAACGCUGGCGGCGUGCUUAACACAUGCAAGUCGAACGCGAAAGGGGCUUCGGUCCUGAGUAGAGUGGCGCACGGGUGAGUAACGCGUAGAUAACCUGUCCUGGUGUCUGGAAUAAUAUCUCGAAAGGGGUGCUAAUACCGGAUAUUCUUGCUUUCUAUAAGGUAUGCAAGGAAAGGUGGCCUCUGGAACAAGCUACUGCACGAGGAGGGGUCUGCGUACCAUUAACUGGUAGGUGGGGUAAUGGCCUACCUAGGCGACGAUGGUUAGCGGGUAUGAGACGAUGAGCCGGCAAACUGGUACUGAAACACGGAGCGACCACGUACGGGAGGCAGCAGUGAGGAAUAUUGCGCAAUGGGGGCAAGCCUGACGCAGCGACGCGGCGUGAGGGAGGAAGGCCUUCGGGUCGUAAAGCUCUGUCAAAGGGGAAGAAGUGCAUGGUGGUUGAUAUCUGUCAUGUUUGACGGUACCCUUAAAGGAAGCACCGGCUAACUCCGUGCCAGCAGCCGCUGUAA